rnacentral:rRNA from 1 species
CACUCCUACGGGAGGCAGCAGUGGGGAAUCUUGCGCAAUGGGCGAAAGCCUGACGCAGCCAUGCCGCGUGAAUGAUGAAGGUCUUAGGAUUGUAAAAUUCUUUCACCGGGGACGAUAAUGACGGUACCCGGAGAAGAAGCCCCGGCUAACUUCGUGCCAGCAGCCGCGGUAAUACGAAGGGGGCUAGCGUUGCUCGGAAUUACUGGGCGUAAAGGGAGCGUAGGCGGACAUUUAAGUCAGGGGUGAAAUCCCGGGGCUCAACCUCGGAAUUGCCUUUGAUACUGGGUGUCUUGAGUAUGAGAGAGGUGUGUGGAACUCCGAGUGUAGAGGUGAAAUUCGUAGAUAUUCGGAAGAACACCAGUGGCGAAGGCGACACACUGGCUCAUUACUGACGCUGAGGCUCGAAAGCGUGGGGAGCAAACAGGAUUAGAAACCCGUGUAGUCCCAUG